rnacentral:rRNA from 1 species
UACAGAGGGUGCGAGCGUUGUCCGGAAUCACUGGGCGUAAAGGGCGCGUAGGUGGUGACCUAAGCGUGCGGUGAAAGCCCGAGGCUCAACCUCGGGUCGGCCGUGCGAACUGGGUCACUGGAGCAGAAUAGAGGCAGGUGGAAUUCCGGGUGUAGCGGUGGAAUGCGUAGAGAUCCGGAAGAACACCGGUGGCGAAGGCGGCCUGCUGGGUUCUGGCUGACACUGAGGCGCGAAAGCGUGGGGAGCAAACAGG